rnacentral:rRNA from 1 species
ACCCCUACGGGAGGCAGCAGUGGGGAAUAUUGGACAAUGGGGGAAACCCUGAUCCAGCAAUGCCGCGUGUGUGAAGAAGGCCUGAGGGUUGUAAAGCACUUUCAACUGUGAGGAUUGGGAUUUUGGUUAAUACCCGAGAUCCUUGACGUUAGCAGUAGAAGAAGCACCGGCUAACUCCGUGCCAGCAGCCGCGGUAA